UUCUUCGGAGAGUUUGAUCCUGGCUCAGGAUGAACGCUGGCGGCGUGCCUAAUACAUGCAAGUCGAGCGAACUGAUUAGAAGCUUGCUUCUAUGACGUUAGCGGCGGACGGGUGAGUAACACGUGGGCAACCUGCCUGUAAGACUGGGAUAACUUCGGGAAACCGAAGCUAAUACCGGAUAGGAUCUUCUCCUUCAUGGGAGAUGAUUGAAAGAUGGUUUCGGCUAUC
rnacentral:rRNA from 1 species